UGGGGAAUAUUGGACAAUGGGCGAAAGCCUGAUCCAGCCAUGCCGCGUGUGUGAAGAAGGUCUUCGGAUUGUAAAGCACUUUAAGUUGGGAGGAAGGGCAGUAAGCGAAUACCUUGCUGUUUUGACGUUACCGACAGAAUAAGCACCGGCUAACUCUGUGCCAGCAGCCGCGGUAAUACAGAGGGUGCAAGCGUUAAUCGGAAUUACUGGGCGUAAAGCGCGCGUAGGUGGUUCGUUAAGUUGAAUGUGAAAGCCCCGGGCUCAACCUGGGAACUGCAUCCAAAACUGGCGAGCUAGAGUAGGGCAGAGGGUGGUGGAAUUUCCUGUGUAGCGGUGAAAUGCGUAGAUAUAGGAAGGAACACCAGUGGCGAAGGCGACCACCUGGGCUCAUACUGACACUGAGGUGCGAAAGCGUGGGGAGCAACAGG
rnacentral:rRNA from 1 species